rnacentral:rRNA from 1 species
AUGUCCACAUGGGAAAAUGAAAGACCACAUUUGCCAAUUUUAAAGGAUGGAUAUGAACUCAGAAAAAUUAUUUUGGGCCAACUGCUAACAUUCAAGGACAAUGAAAGUGAAGAUAACAUGCCUGCCGGUGUACUUGAAUUCAUCAGUUGUAUCAGGAAAAUCCAAUAUAAAACUGGACUUGCGUGCUAUUUCUGA